AAAUUAUGAAAAAUUAAAUAAGAGAAAGAUUAAAGAUAUUGCUUAUUAAAGUGAUAUUGCUGAAAUUAUGUAUGAUUACUUUGUUACGAGUUGCAAAUAUUUUCCUAAUGUUUUUCUCCCGUUAGAAUUUUACAAUUUUCCAAGUGUACCUUUUUUGCUUUUUCUAGCGAAUUGUUAAUUUCAUUAAAACUCGCGUCUAUUGCUAAUAAAUAUAAAGCUAGAUCAGUAUUGUUACAAAAUACGCACGAUAUAAGGAUAAUUUGUUGUGCGCACAAUCACAGUGACCAUGAUCGAGCGUUUAUGCUCGUGAUAAUAAUUAGAUUUCAUAAAUGAUCGCGUUUAUUUUUUUGUCAAAAAGCGUCUUUUACACAUCGUCGUGACUGAAAAUUGACUGGAUAUUAGAAGGAAUACAAGAAAAAAAUUAAUGAACUUCCUCCUAA